GAUGAACGCUGGCGGCGUGCCUAAUACAUGCAAGUCGAGCGAACAGACGAGGAGCUUGCUCCUCUGACGUUAGCGGCGGACGGGUGAGUAACACGUGUAUAACCUACCUAUAAGACUGGGAUAACUUCGGGAAACCGGAGCUAAUACCGUAUAAUAUAUUGAACCGCAUUGUUCAAUAGUGAAAGACGGUUUUGCUGUCACUUAUAGAUGGAUCCGCGCCGCAUUAGCUAGUUGGUAAGGUAACGGCUUACCAAGGCGACGAUGCGUAGCCGACCUGAGAGAGUGAUCGGCCACACUGGAACUGAGACAGGGACCAGACUCCUACGGGAGGCAGCAGUAGGGAAUCUUCCGCAGUGGGCGAAAGCCUGACGGAGCAACGCCGCGUGAGUGAUGAAGGUCUUCGGAUCGUAAAACUCUGUUAUUAGGGAAGAACAAAUGUGUAAGUAACUAUGCACGUCUUGACGGUACCUAAUAAGAAAGCCACGGCUAACUACGUG
rnacentral:rRNA from 1 species